rnacentral:rRNA from 1 species
UACGGUAGGUGGCAAGCGUUGUCCGGAUUUAUUGGGUUUAAAGGGUGCGUAGGCGGCUUUGUAAGUCAGUGGUGAAUAUGGCAGCUCAACUGUCAAGGUGCCAUUGAUACUGCGGAGCUUGAGUACAGAUGAGGUAGGCGGAAUUGACGGUGUAGCGGUGAAUGCUUAGAUAUCGAUCAAGAACACCUAUAGCGAAGGCAGCUUACUAGGCUGUAACUGACGCUGAGGCACGAAAGUGUGGGAUCAAACAGG